AUGGAUGAGGUCACAAGGGAUAUACAAGGAGAUAUCCCAUGGUGUAUGCUCUUUGCGGAUGAUGUGGUGCUAGUUGACGAUAGUCGGACGGGGGUAAAUGGGAAGUUAGAGUUAUGGAGACAAACCUUGGAAUUGAAAGGGUUUAGGCUUAGUAGAACUAAAACCGAGUACAUGAUGUGCGGUUUCAGUACUACUAGGUGUGAGGAGGAGGAGGUUAGCCUUGAUGGCCAGGUGGUACCUCGGAAGGACACCUUUCGGUAUUUGGGGUCAAUGUUGCAGGAAGAUGGGGGUAUUGAUGAAGAUGUGAACCAUCGAAUCAAAGCCGGAUGGAUGAAGUGGACCAAGCUUCUGGCAUUCUAUGUGACAAGAGAGUGCCACAAAAGCUAA
rnacentral:rRNA from 1 species